GCCAUAGGCCAUACCAUGCUGAAUAGGCCGGUUCUAGUCCGAUCACCGAAACUAAGCAGCCUUGCGCGCGGUCACUAAUUGGAAGGGAAACCACCUAGAAAUGGCCAGUGCUCGUGGCU
rnacentral:rRNA from 1 species